CGGGGUGAGUAACGCGUGGGUAACCUGCCUCAUACAGGGGGAUAACAGUUAGAAAUGACUGCUAAUACCGCAUAAGCGCACAGAAUCGCAUGAUUCGGUGUGAAAAACUCCGGUGGUAUGAGAUGGACCCGCGUCUGAUUAGCUAGUUGGUGGGGUAAAGGCCUACCAAGGCGACGAUCAGUAGCCGACCUGAGAGGGUGAUCGGCCACAUUGGGACUGAGACACGGCCCAAACUCCUACGGAAGGCAGCAG
rnacentral:rRNA from 1 species